rnacentral:miRNA from 1 species
GAUCAAAUCUCACCCCUGCACUUUGAUUAUUUGAUUCCAAGGUGUUCUGGUGGGAUGUGAUUCU